rnacentral:lncRNA from 1 species
CGCAGUGGGAUUGCGGGCGCAGUGCCGUGGUUUCGGUUGAGCAUUCUUGGCAGCGUCUCCUCGGCGAACUAGCAGCCGACGGUCAGUCAACCCACGGCUCUCUUUUGGUGUUCGGGGAAUUAUAUUUUAGGGAUACUAAGGACCGCGGAGCAUCUCUGGAUUGAAUUAUCGAUCCCUCUCUGCCUACACACCCACACCAAACUUCAUCCCAUCAGCUUCAUCUGACUGGCUUUCUGCAAAAAAGGAUCUCAUUGCUGAUGCGUACCGACAGAUUUUUCAGAAGGAAUUCCCCACUGCAAGAGAAGUAACGUGUUGUGAAAGAGAAGCACUGUUACCUAACCGACCGCUGUUGCAUCCAGAUCUGUCAACAAAAUACAUAUAGGAAAAACUGAGUAUAAUUCAAGUGGAAGCAGAAAAAUUGGGUCAUCUCUGAUCCAGACGUGUCCAUUAUGCCUCAGCAGUAUUUAUUACAACCUGCCAGUUAAAGGCGAUGUCUUGGGGCGCUGGAGGCCACAACACCACGAGCAGAGUGUGCAUGGGGCCUCUCUGCUACCCAUUUCCAGCAACCCUACUGUCAUGUGAAGCCAACGCACUACUGCACUGCC